rnacentral:rRNA from 1 species
GGGGAAUCUUCCGCAAUGGGCGCAAGCCUGAUGGAGCAACGCCGCGUGAGUGAAGACGGUCUUCGGAUUGUAAAGCUCUGUCCUUAGGGAAGAACCGUGGAUGUAGUUAAUGACAUCCAUCUGACGGUACCUUUGGAGGAAGCACUGGCUAACUACGUGCCAGCAGCCGCGGUAAUACGUAGAGUGCAAGCGUUGUCCGGAAUUAUUGGGCGUAAAGGGUACGCGGGCGGAUAAUCAAGUCAAGCGUGAAAGGUGUCGGCUUAACCGACAGACUGCGUUUGAAACUGAUUAUCUUGAGUGUAACAGAGGAGAGUGGAAUUCCUAGUGUAGUGGUGAAAUACGUAGAUAUUAGGAAGAACACCAGUGGCGAAGGCGACUCUCUGGGUUAACACUGACGCUGAGGUACGAAAGCUGGGGGAGCGAAUGGGAUUAGAUACCCCAGUAGUC